AUGCAAGUCGAACGCUUCUUUUUCCACCGGAGCUUGCUCCACCGGAAAAAGAGGAGUGGCGAACGGGUGAGUAACACGUGGGUAACCUGCCCAUCAGAAGGGGAUAACACUUGGAAACAGGUGCUAAUACCGUAUAACAAUCGAAACCGCAUGGUUUUGAUUUGAAAGGCGCUUUCGGGUGUCGCUGAUGGAUGGACCCGCGGUGCAUUAGCUAGUUGGUGAGGUAACGGCUCACCAAGGCGACGAUGCAUAGCCGACCUGAGAGGGUGAUCGGCCACAUUGGGACUGAGACACGGCCCAAACUCCUACGGGAGGCAGCAGUAGGGAAUCUUCGGCAAUGGACGAAAGUCUGACCGAGCAACGCCGCGUGAGUGAAGAAGGUUUUCGGAUCGUAAAACUCUGUUGUUAGAGAAGAACAAGGAUGAGAGUAACUGUUCAUCCCUUGACGGUAUCUAACCAGAAAGCCACGGCUAACUACGUGCCAGCAGCCGCGGUAAUACGUAGGUGGCAAGCGUUGUCCGGAUUUAUUGGGCGUAAAGCGAGCGCAGGCGGUUUCUUAAGUCUGAUGUGAAAGCCCCCGGCUCAACCGGGGAGGGUCAUUGGAAACUGGGAGACUUGAGUGCAGAAGAGGAGAGUGGAAUUCCAUGUGUAGCGGUGAAAUGCGUAGAUAUAUGGAGGAACACCAGUGGCGAAGGCGGCUCUCUGGUCUGUAACUGACGCUGAGGCUCGAAAGCGUGGGGAGCAAACAGGAUUAGAUACCCUGGUAGUCCACGCCGUAAACGAUGAGUGCUAAGUGUUGGA
rnacentral:rRNA from 1 species